GUGUUCUGUUUUCCUCCUUAAAACAUUGCUAUUCCAGAGCAGUGUGAAAGAGGAGCUUUGGGAAAUGAAACCCUUCCUACAACCACAGAAGACGAUCAGAAUGGGUUACCACUGUCCCUAACAUGUACCUUGGUCCUGUCCACUCAUCCCUAUGUGACAAGUUCAGUCUCCUGUGACUUCCCUAACCCACUGCCAGCUAGGUUAGCCAAAGUAGCAAGAAUUAACAGAACACACCCAUCUGUCCCUUAGAAAUGAGGAUGAAAUGCAAAUAUGGCUGUUUCGGGUAAGCCAAAAAGAAGCUAUCAAAUUAUCUUCACCUUCAGCCCCUGCAAACUGGGAUCAAGAGUGAUGGAAGAUCUCCUGUUGACAAGUUCCCUCGCACAACCAGUGCUGCAAAAAGCUGUCAAUAAGGACAAUUUGCUUCAUGGGUCUGGCCCCAGUUUAAAUUUCAUGGAAGACAAAGUGGCAGAAGUAGAAAUGUUCCUCCCUUAUUAUGGACCCUGAAGUAUGCAUGAUUUAGUGGAGAGCUGUGGAGACCAAGGUAGUAUACCAUUUAAAAAUUUGUUUGUUGAUUUACUCUCCUUGUAAUUACACAUUGGUUUCAUUAUUGCUAUUUAUUAAAGAACUAAAUAUAAUUAAAGUUUUGUCUUUGAGCUGAGUGAGAUUUUGUUCGGUUACUUUCCACAAUCUCCUCUCACAGGCAGGGUUAGUCUGGACCUUGGUGAAAGCUGUGAGCUGCAGAUAGGUAUGCCAGAGAUUUUCCGCACAAUGCCCACAAAGUUUCUGAGACUGAUUAUGUCGUAGCUUAUUUUCAACUAAUGUCAAAACAGAAAAAGUCAAGCCAUCAGUCCACAUACUGAGCCCUUCUUUGCAAAACAGAGGACCUUUAUGAAGAAGCCAACAUUCGCGGUACACUAUCAAAAGUGUCCAGCAACUUGUGUAAUGGGUAUACAGAUCAUUCCGAGGUUUCUCCCAUAGAAAAUCAUGCUGGAAAUCACGAUUUCCAUCUCCAAGACUCAUUCGUCCCAGAAGUUUUUAAUUUUAUAAAUGAACAUAUCGUUUAAUUUGAAGUCAUGGUAUGGAUCUUAGCUUGCUGAGUGGCUGUUUUUAGAAAGCAUUGGUAACAUAUGUGGGAUAGUGGAGUUUUGUUUUGGUUAGAGGUUUUAUGGAGGGGUUUUUUUUUUCUUAACAAGUACAGCAACACAGGCUGGAUGGAUUAGAGUACCUCAGACAUGUCAUCGUUUAUAUUGUCAUGGACUGUCACAAUGAUUGGUGUUAAGAAAGGAUGCGAUGAAAUGUUUAUGUGGAAAACUAAUCGUUGUUUAGUGGUUUUUAUU
rnacentral:lncRNA from 1 species